AUAGUAACACAGCAGAUAGAGCACGUAUAGAGAUAGAUAAAAU
rnacentral:guide_RNA from 1 species